AAUUCAUAGCGGGGACAUCUCCGGAGCAUGUCCUUGAACCUUUCCCAUGCUUCAUAUAAUGAUUAUGUAUCCACCUGCAUAAACAUAGUAAUAUCAUUACGUAACU